UACGUAGGGUGCGAGCGUUAAUCGGAAUUACUGGGCGUAAAGCGUGCGUAGACGGUUAUCUAAGUCGGAUGUGAAAGCCCCGGGCUCAACCUGGGAAUUGCAUUCGAGACUGAAUAGCUAGGGUACGGUAGAGGGAAGUGGAAUUUCCGGUGUAGCGGUGAAAUGCGUAGAUAUCGGAAGGAACAUCAGUGGCGAAAGCGACUUCCUGGACCAGUACCGACGUUCAGGCACGAAAGCGUGGGGAGCAAACAGG
rnacentral:rRNA from 1 species